UUAAUUAAAGCCAAAAUAGAGGCAUUUCAUUGUUAAUGAAACUAAUGAUUUAUUUCUAAUUAAA
rnacentral:tRNA from 1 species